rnacentral:rRNA from 1 species
CCUACGGGUGGCAGCAGUAGGGAAUAUUGCUCAAUGGGGGAAACCCUGAAGCAGCAACGCCGCGUGGAGGAUGAAGGUUUUCGGAUUGUAAACCUCUGUCAGCAGGGAAGAACGGUCACUGUGCUAAUCAGCAGUGAAUUGACGGUACCUGCAAAGGAAGCACCGGCUAACUCCGUGCCAGCAGCCGCGGUAAUACGGAGGGUGCGAGCGUUAAUCGGAAUUACUGGGCGUAAAGCGCUCGUAGGCGGUAUGUCAAGUCAAGGGUGAAAUCCCCGCGCUCAACGUGGGAACUGCCUUUGAAACUGGCAAACUGGAGUGUGUGAGAGGAUAGUGGAAUUCCAGGUGUAGGAGUGAAAUCCGUAGAUAUCUGGAGGAACAUCAGUGGCGAAGGCGACUAUCUGGCACAUAACUGACGCUGAGGAGCGAAAGCGUGGGUAGCAAACAGGAUUAGAUACCCGGGUAGUC